AUUGUAGCCAAUGUUCUAUAUUCAGCUGUAAUCUAAACAUACCCAUAUGAAUUCCAACUGAAAGCAGGAAAAUGUCUUCGAAGUAUCCUCUAUUUCCAAUGCAUUGCCAAAUUCUCUCUUCUAAUUUUUCAUUUCAUAAAGUAUACAGAGCUAACCAUCCUUGGAUUCUCAAUCAACAUGAAAUAGCUAACCACUUGAAACUGGGCUUGGAAAAGCUCAUUUGCAUUCGUGCAGCAAGGCUGGAGAAUAAACCAAGCAAAUGCGUCUAUUUGUGUACUUCAAUAUAUGACUGUGCUUGCUUCAAUCAAGACUUAUUUUCAGUAUCAUGGCCAACAAAAGCAUUAAACGAGUUUUCUCCAACAUGAGUGAUAAGCUGUAGAAUGUAUUUCUUUAAAGGAUUUUUUUUUCUGUGACGCUUAUGGAAUGCAAUAAAAAACAGAAGCAAGAGUGCA
rnacentral:lncRNA from 12 species